GUUAGCGAUGUCUGAGCUCAGAAGAGAGGCAUGAAAUGAAAAUAUAAAUCUGAAAUUCAUCAAUAUAUUAAAAGUAUCUGAGAAAGGAAACCGAGAUCUGCACAGGGCUUCCCUUUGCCCAUUCAUCUCCCCUCACCCUUUAAACGUAAACUGGAGCCUGCUGCUCACCGACCUAGCAUUGCUCUCACCAUGACUCUCAGCGAUGCUGACGUGCAAAAGCAGAUAAAGCAUAUGAUGGCUUUCAUUGAACAAGAAGCCAAUGAGAAAGCAGAAGAAAUAGAUGCAAAGGCAGAAGAAGAGUUCAACAUAGAGAAAGGUUGGCUUGUGCAAACCCAAAGACUAAAGAUUAUGGAAUAUUAUGAGAAGAAAGAGAAACAGAAUGAGCAGCAGAAGAAAAUCCAGAUGUCCAAUUUGAUGAAUUAAGCGAGACUCAAAGUCCUCAGAGCGAGAGAUGACCUUAUCACAGACCUACUAAAUGAAGCAAAACAGAGACUCAGCAAGGUGGUAAAAGAUACAACCAGGUACCAAGCGCUGCUGGAUGGACUGGUUCUCCAGGGUUUGUACCAGUUGCUGGAGCCCCGAACAAUUGUUCAUUGCAGGAAACAAGAUUUCCCUCUGGUAAAGGCUGCAGUGCAGAAGGCAAUCCCUAUGUACAAAAUUGCCACCAAAAACGAUGUUGAUGUCCAAAUUGACCAGGAGUCCUACCUGCCUGAAGACAUAGCUGGUGGAGUUGAGAUCUAUAAUGGGGAUCGUAAAAUAAAGGUUUCCAACACCCUGGAAAGCCGGCUGGAUCUCAUAGCCCAGCAGAUGACGCCAGAAGUCCGGGGAGCCUUGUUUGGUGCAAAUGCCAACAGGAAGUUUUUGGACUAAGCCUUCAGGAGGUGGAGCUCAUCCUCAGCUCUCCUGCUAUGAUGUGGAAGCUUCUGAUAUUUGAAGAAACACGAAUGUCUCUGUAGCUUCCUCUUUACUGCCCCAGUAUUGCUCUGUAUUUAUCAGUGAUGCUCCUCUUGUCACUCAUGCCUUGCCUAAUUGUUCACAGUGGUGGAAAGCUUCAUGUAAUAUGAUCAGGACCCACCUCCAGUUCAUCUGAAAGUAACACAGUGUCCAGUUGGUUCUCCAGCACUAGGGGAAGGGGCAGAUGGUGGUCACAUGGGCUUCCUGGGUCUCCACUCUCCGUCUGGCCUAGAGGUGAUGUGUUUGGUGUUUGGCCCUGCAGUCCCCACUGUUGAGGCUUAAGGUGCAUGUGGCGCACCACUCCUUCCAGCAGUAGUCGCUUUACUGUUACCUGUUUAGGCCUAGAAGUUUUCCCUCAUCUGUAAAUGUGAUUUAAAAUCUAAGCCAUGAAUAUGCUUUAUUUAUUAAAAGAGUUACAUGGAAAAAAAAAAAAA